rnacentral:lncRNA from 1 species
UUUACAAAAUUGUACUGUACUUUAAAAGCAUUUUGAAAAUGUUUCUCAUCCUGAAAGCAAUAAUGCAGAUUUUUGCUACAAGUUAAUUUCUAGUUUAGUGAUUGCAAUUUAUAGUGUAUGAUUUGAUAUUGCAAAUGCAAAUUGCAAAUACAAAAAUCUUGUUCAUAGAUAUAAAAAGAUGUUGUAUGAGUGCCAAUAUUCAUGUAUAUCAAGUAUUGACGAUUUCAUAUUGGAUUCAACUUUUCAAGAACAAAACUAGAUAUAGCAAUAGAUCAAAUGAGUAUAUUCCAUGACACAUAAUGAGGUGACAAUGUUAAGUUUUAAUCUUUGUGUAUCAGACCAGGUGCACAAGUUCUUUUUGUCCUCAAAUGAAAAAAAAUGAAAGCAAUCUUUACCCUGUACUGCAGUGCUCACAAGCACUUUGAUUUUUUAAUUGGUUAUUAAUGAAUGUGUAAAAAAAAAAAGGGGGGGGGAAACAAUUCUCUUUAUGGUCCUUCGUUCAACUAAUGAAAUUGAAAAAUACCAUUGAAAAAAUCUAUAUCAUGAAGAUUUUUGCAUGAAGGAAACAAUUCAUUCUUUAAAAAUUGCAUAUAAAGCAAAUGAAAGCAUCUAAAGUGGUAUGAAUAUAAAGUUGGUUGGAUGACCAGGAAAGAAAAAGACUUACAUAGUUGGAUAUUUAGACUAUAGAUUAUAAUAAAGAUAGGAAAAAUCAUUUAUUAUAUUUAUGUGGGAACAAAAAGAAAAUCGCAUAUUCAGAAGUAUUAGCAUGAUUAGUUGUUUUAUAAAGUAUAUCUUCAAUAAGGUUAUUUUGAAUAAUUUUUGGUUCAAGGGACUAAUAUUUCUGCAUUUAACUUGGGACAAAAAAGUCCUAAUCACUAAUUUAAAUAUUCAUAUGUAUGAAAGGUAGUGUAGUCUAUACACACAUUGAGAUUACACCUGAUUUUAGUGUUCAGUAUGUGUUUAAGUGAUAUGAUGAAUAAAAAUGUAUAAAUUAUGUGAAUUUUAUUUUUUCAGACCAUAGUAUCAAAUACUAGCAUUCUUUAAGAUUCACAUAUUACUUGUACAGUUUUUAUUUAUUUCAAAGAUAUUUGUCAUCAUCAUGAAUAAAAACAAGUAAAUACUUGACUUUCAUGUAAGACCAUUAAUUUAUUUUGUAUACUUUUUAGGACUUAUCAUUUGUACUAUUCUUUUACACAUAUGUCUAGUCACAUUAUAUUUUGGUUGUACAGCGCUUGCAUAUUUAUUAUGUAUAUAGCUAUCAGGGUUGUGAAGAAUGGCCAUUAAAAUAAUGAAAAUUACUAAAAAA